AACAAACGCUGGCGGCGUGCCUAAUACAUGCAAGUCGAACGGGGAAAGCUUUCGGGUGAGUACUAGUGGCGCACGGGUGAGUAACGCGUGGAUAAUCUGCCUUAGAGUGGGGGAUAACUAGUCGAAAGAUUAGCUAAUACCGCAUAAGACCACAAGAACUGCGGUUCAAGAGGUCAAAGGUUUUUCGCUCUAAGAUGAGUCCGCGUAAGAUUAGCUAGUUGGUGCGGUAACGGCUCACCAAGGCAACGAUCCUUAACUGGUCUGAGAGGAUGAUCAGUCACACUGGAACUGGGACACGGUCCAGACUCCUACGGGAGGCAGCAGUAGGGAAUAUUGCACAAUGGAGGAAACUCUGAUGCAGCGACGCCGCGUGGGUGAUGAAGGCCUUCGGGUCGUAAAGCUCUGUCGCAGGGGAAUAACACAAUGAAUGUACCCUGUAAGAAAGGAUCGGCUAACUUCGUGCCAGCCGCCGCGGUAACAC
rnacentral:rRNA from 1 species